UCCAAAUCAUAGCUAACUUUUUGUUAUGUAGUGCUUUGCUCUUCACUAUUCACUGUUAACUCUUUUGCAACUCUUCUCAUUUCUAAUCUCUCUCGCACUCGCCGGAGAUUUCUCUCGUCAUUUCCUGCCGCCACAAUGUCCUCCGCUAAUAACGCCACAGCCAAGGCUUCUCAUACUAAAGACGAAGCUUAUCUCAACGCGGAUUAGCUUGCUGAAUGGGACUGUGAAGGAAGGAGAGAGACGGUUAUCAUCUUCGAUGGCUAAUGGCAUUUCAAAGAGUUUGGCUACGAAUGCUUUGAUUGCUCAACUUAACGGUUGGUUUUGGGAUAUGAAUAGGUUUGUUUUUCCGUUUUUUCUCCGUCUCUCUUCCUUAAUUUCAUUUUAUGUCAAGUUAAUCCAAGUGUUUGUAGAAAUUUCCCAAUGAAACUUGCUGUCAAUUUUUAGGUUUUAGGAUUAUAUUCAUCCUGAAUUUAGAAGUGUAUUGCUCUAUAAUUUUUUAGGUUUUAGAAGUGUAUUGAUCCAUAAUUUUUUAGGUUUUAGAAGUGUAUACAUCUGUAGUUUAUAUACUUGAUUAAUAAUGGAAUUGACUAAUGAUAUUUGUGGUUUCAUUUUGUGCUAAAAAAUAUCUGAGUGUACAAAUCCUUAUCGUCACUGUUUUAAUUAGAUACUGAUUUCACUAUCGGCUGUUCAAACAACUACAAUUGCUUGCUUCAAUUCAUAGCUCUUCUUGCUCUUUAUUUCAGGGGAGCUGCAGCCAAACACCGCCGCUCGCUACCUGCAUCGAUAUCGACGCCAAAGCCGCUGCUCUCUGCCGACGCCAAAACAGCUUCUUGCUGGCGACCUUUUGACGCCACCACUCAUUCCCUGAUCAAUCCCUUGUGAUUAGAAUUGUGAGUGACAAGGAUGCUUAAGAGAAUGUCAUUGUUAUCCAGGUAA